GGACCCUGGGCCGUCUGCAUCUGUGGAUUACAGGCAGGCUCAGCGGCGAAGUGUGGCAACUCGGGCUCCUCCUCCUCCCCCUGCUGGCAGGAGCAGGACUCAAAAACGGAGAGACAUGAGGAGGAAGAGGAAGGACUUGAGGGAGGUUAUUGAAGCCAAACGCGUGGGUGGAACAGAUGUGCCUCACGUUAAAGGAAAGAGAUAAUUUUCCUUUCUCCUUCCUAUCCUAGCCCCCCCCCCCCUCACACCAUUGGGUUCUGAGGUAUUCACCACGCUUCACAUCGGGCCCUGAACUGAACCUAUGAUGUUUGAGCAGAUUUGUGUAGCUUACACUUUCUGUUAUACUGAGGUUCGGUGAAAGCCUGUAUCUGGUAGUGUGGUAGUAUAAGUUCUAUGCAGUGACAUUUGGUUUCGGCCCUUUGGUGGGCCACCUUGGUAAACUGUCAUAUAGCUGAGUAGGUUUGGUCUCCUCUCACUUAAGAGAGUCUUUCUGCUGAGGCCUCCGCUCAUCAGAGCUCCAGUUAGGCAGUGUAAUCAAGUGUUCGGCCCUCUGUGAGGCCGCCUUGAUGAACAGUCUUAUGUUGAGUAGGUUUGGCCUCCUCUCGCUUAAGAGAGUCAUUCUGCUGAGGCCUCCACUCACCAGAGCUCCAGUUAGACUUGGAAUCAAGUGUUCGGCCCUCUGUGAGGCCGCCUUGAUAAACAGUCUUAUGUCGAGUAGGUUUGGCCUCCUCUCGCUUAAGAGAGUCAUUCUGCUGAGGCCUCCACUCAUCAGAGCUCCAGUUAGGUUGAGCAGGUUUGGCUUCCUCUCGCUUAGAGAGUCUUUCUGCUGAGGCCUCCGCUCAUAUAAGCUCUAGUUAGUGUAAUCAACUGUUCGGCCCUCUUUGAGGCCGCCUUGAUAAACAGUCUUAUGUUGAGUAGGUUUGGCCUCCUCUCAUGUAAGAGAGUCGUUCUGCUGAAGCCUCCACUCUCCAGAGCUCCGCAUAGGCAGUUUAAAGGUGCAGACUCUUCCUCUGAGCCUUACUAAUUGUCUAGUGUUGAGUGUAGCCAGGUCUCCUUUCGUUCCGAGAGUUGUUUGCUUGACCUCCACUCUGGAGCUCCAGACGUUGGUGGGUGAGCUAAUCUAUGACGUUCCUUUGAGUCUGACUCAGGGAAUCCAGUUGUUUGAGCUCGUCCCUCAGCAUGGCGGCGUUGAGAUAUCGUUCCCCUAGCGCCCUCUAGAGGACGCAGCGUGGAGUUCCCUUUCGAAAGGGAACGUCUCAGGUUACACAUGUAACCAUGGUUCCCUGAGAAUAGGGAACGAGACGCUGCGUCCCUCGGCCAUGCUUCGGACACUCCCGCUUCCUUCAGACAAAGAAGUGGAUGAUGUGUUCCACGGUGCCCUUUUUAUACCCGCAGUCGCAUUAUUGUUUACGUCACGGGC
ensembl:lncRNA